rnacentral:lncRNA from 1 species
GGCACUUCUCUAAGAUGAUGGUCCAGGACUGACCAGCAUGCCUAAUUCGGGAAAUCUUUAAAUGGCUUAACUUAAGGCAACAUGAAAAGAUUGCUGGAUGUGGAAAGAACUUUGUAGUGCACUGCAUCGCGAUUGUUCAGACUUCAAAGAAACCCUUAGAAAAACUGUAAAUAAGGACUAAGGCAUAAAAAUACACCAGCACCUGGGAAUACUCAGCACACUGCACACCAGAACAGAAUCCAAGCCCUGGCAAAGAGCCAGCCGCCGGGGAUAAAUCUGGAAGGGCUUAAUACAUGCUGAAGAACCGAUCCACUUCGAAGCAAACUAGGUUUCACUGGGGAAAAGCCAGCUUCAAAUUUAUCCUUAAGCUAAAACCUAUAAAAUGUUUGACAAAAUAUUAGAUAUCUUGAAACUGU